UCCUUGUUAGCUAAGUUGGGACCACUCCACCGGAAAUGGGGAGGUCGCUGGUUCAAUACCAGAACAAGGUG
rnacentral:tRNA from 1 species